CUUGAAAAAUGCCUGCAAAAUUCCAUCACACCUUUGCGGGGACCAGUUUGGGUCUCUAAGGGAGAAGGUUUCAGCCCCUCAGGAGCUAAGAUGUACAUCCAAGGAGUUCUUUUGGCCUUGUACCAACGAUUAAAGUCUGCAAAAAAAUAUUAUAAACAGUUGAACCUGGCUGUGGAUGAACAGAAAGGGAAAAUUACCGAAAAAGUCAUUCUUUCAAUGACAGCAAAGGAACACCAUAAGGCACAAGAAGAAGUGAACAGGCUGAUUGAUGAAUUGCAGACAGCUAUCAAAAGCAACAGAGGUCAUCUCUCUAAACUUGGCCCCCAAUUACAGGCUGAGCAGGAGCAAUUCUCCUCUUAUGUCUACGAACACAUUAAAAGCCUUCCAGCAAACACUCUUAUCCCAGGAGGCCUGCAGCUCAAGAUAUUUGAAAAUGGUAAAGACACUGGAGAGAUCUCUGUUUGUAUCAGUGAAAAAGAUCUGGGGCCCAAUAGCCCAAUUCAAACUGGCUAUGUGAUGGAAAGAGUGAGUUUACUGACUAUUCGUUUAUGACUGUGAGCACCUUCCAAGUUACUUGUAGUUAAUUUAGACAAUUAC
rnacentral:lncRNA from 1 species